GGCUGGGGCUCCGUGGUAGAGCAUUCGCCUAACAUGUGUGAGGCCCUGGGUUCCAUUCUCAGCACCA
rnacentral:tRNA from 1 species